rfam:Schistosoma mattheei strain Denwood, Zambia genome assembly, scaffold: SMTD_scaffold0000041
AGCUUUCUGAAUCCAUUUCGAGAUCUUGUCAGGCACCAAACUAAAAGGGCUGAUGAGACUUCCGAGAUGAGUAAAGUG